GCUUACGGCCACACAGCCUGGUUCACGCACGAUCUCGUUUGAUCUCGGAAGCGAAGAUAGGUUGGGCCUGGUUAGUACUUGGAUGGGAGACCGCCUAGGAAUACCAGGUGCUGUAAGCC
ensembl:rRNA 5S_rRNA 5S ribosomal RNA